CCUACGGGAGGCUGCAGUGGGGAAUAUUGGGCAAUGGGCGCAAGCCUGACCCAGCAACGCCGCGUGAAGGAAGAAGGCUCUCGGGUUGUAAACUCCUUUUGACAGGGAAGAGUAGAAGACGGUACCUGUCGAAUAAGCCACGGCUAACUACGUGGCAGCAGCCGCGGUAAUACGUAGGUGGCAAGUGUUGUCCGGAUUUACUGGGGUUAAAGGGGGGGUAGCCGGGUUGACAAGUCAGAUGUGAAAUCUUGCGGCUUACCCGCAGAACUGCAUUUGAAACUGUUGAUCUUGAGUACUGGAGAGGCAGACGGAAUUCCCAGUGUAGCGGUGAAAUGCGUAGAUAUUGGGAGGAACACCAGUGGCGAAGGCGGUCUGCUGGAC
rnacentral:rRNA from 1 species